rnacentral:rRNA from 1 species
UAAUACGGAGGAUCCAAGCGUUAUCCGGAAUUAUUGGGUUUAAAGGGUCCGCAGGCUGUUUUUUAAGUCAGAGGUGAAAUCCUGCAGCUCAACUGUAGAAUUGCCUUUGAAACUGAAAGACUUGAGUUAUUGUGAAGUGGUUAGAAUGUGUGGUGUAGCGGUGAAAUGCAUAGAUAUCACACAGAAUACCAAUUGCGAAGGCAGAUCACUAACAAUUAACUGACGCUCAGGGACGAAAGCGUGGGUAGCGAACAGGAUUAGAUACCCUGGUAGUCCACGCCGUAAACGAUGGAUACUAGCUGUAUGUCUACUUCAGGUAGAUGUGUGGCCAAGCGAAAGUGAUAAGUAUCCCACCUGGGGAGUACGAUCGCAAGAUUG